UAAGGGCUUGGUACUGAAGAAGGGUGGCGAAAUACUUGUAAGAUUUUUCUGGAUUUUCUAGUAUUUUUUCUGUCUGGAAAUGUGGCUGGCGAAAAUUAGCGAGCGAAGUUACUAUGCACGAUAACUAUGCAUGCACGAGGCUUCACGUGGGAUUUUUUUUUUUUUUUUUUUUUUUUUUUUUUUUUUUUUUUAUCAAAUUUACUAUGAUGAUGACAUCGCAAUCUUCCGUACCCACGGAUUACGCCUCAUAAACCCAGACAUUCUAUACGAUCAACGCCAACGG
rnacentral:lncRNA from 1 species